rnacentral:rRNA from 1 species
GAUGAACGCUGGCGGCGUGCCUAAUACAUGCAAGUCGAGCGAACGGACGAGAAGCUUGCUUCUCUGAUGUUAGCGGCGGACGGGUGAGUAACACGUGGAUAACCUACCUAUAAGACUGGGAUAACUUCGGGAAACCGGAGCUAAUACCGGAUAAUAUUUUGAACCGCAUGGUUCAAUAGUGAAAGACGGUCUUGCUGUCACUUAUCGAUGGAUCCGCGCUGCAUUGGCUAGUUGUUACGGUAACGGCUUAGCAAGGCUACGAUGCAUAGCCGACGUGAGAGGCGGAUAGGCGACCUGGGAGGGGGACCGGGGUCCUGGGUCCUAAGGGAGGCAGCAGUAGGGAACCGGCGGCAAUGGGCGAAAGCCUGACGGAGCAACGGCGCGUGAGUGAUGAAGGUGUUCGGAUCGUAAAGCUCUGUUAUGAGGGAAGAACAGAUGUGUAAGGAACUGUGCACAGCUUGACGGUAACUGAUCAGAAAGCCACGGCUAACUACGUG